AGUGUGAGAGAAAGACAAGAAAUAAGGAAGACUUCAAGAUUUUUGGUCUGAGCCCUUUGAAGGAUGUAUUGCCAUUGACCAGGAUGGAGAAGGCUGUAGAUGGAAGUGGGUUUUGGAGUAGAAGUUUUGUUGCAUAGGUGCCAAAGAAAUAAUGGGG
rnacentral:lncRNA from 1 species